rnacentral:rRNA from 1 species
AUUGAACGCUGGCGGAAUGCUUUACACAUGCAAGUCGAACGGCAGCACGGACUUCGGUCUGGUGGCGAGUGGCGAACGGGUGAGUAACAUAUCGGAACGUAUCCAAUAAUGGGGAUAACGAGUCGAAAGAUUCGCUAAUACCGCAUACGCCCUACGGGGGAAAGCUGGGGACCUUCGGGCCUGGCGUUAAUGGAGCGGCCGAUAUCUGAUUAGCUAGUUGGUGAGGUAAAGGCUCCCCAAGGCGACGAUCAGUAGCUGGUCUGAGAGGACGACCAGCCACACUGGAACUGAGACACGGUCCAGACUCCUACGGGAGGCAGCAGUGGGGAAUUUUGGACAAUGGGCGCAAGCAUGAUCCAGCCAUUCCGCGUGAGUGAAGAAGGCCUUCGGGUUGUAAAGCUCUUUCGCAAGGGAAGAAAACUUAGCCACUAACAUUGGUUGAGGUUGACGGUACCUUGAUAAGAAGCACCGGCUAACUACGUGCCAGCCGCCGCAGUAA